rnacentral:lncRNA from 13 species
AUUAUUACUCUCAUUUUGCAGAUGAAAAAUGGAAACACAAGGAAACAACUAGUCAGGUCAACAUUCAGUAGAGGGACACUGUUUCAAAGAAACUACAGCUCAAAGAAGAGCUCCCGAAGGAUAGAAGAGAAUGAAAAACUGAGACUGUGACGUUGUUUUACUGGAGAGAUUCUAGAGACUCUGUCUUCCUAGCUGGCUUUGAAGAAAUACCCAGGUGGAAAGGUCCACAUGACAAGAAGCUGAGGGUGGCCUUUAGGAGCUGAGAGUCUCUCGAUCCAACAGCCAGCAACAAACCAGGGUCCUCAGUUCUAUGAACACUAGGAAAUGAAUUCUGCCAACAACCUGAAGCGGCAUGGAAGUGACUUCUUCCCAGUCAGACUCCAGAUGUGAACACAGCUAACACCUCGCCUGCAAACUUUUGAGAUCGUAAACAGAGAAAUCAGCUAUGCUGUGCCCAGACUUCUGACCCACCCAAACUGUGAGAUAAUAAAUGUAUGCCGUAUUAAGCCCCA